CAUAAAUGCUAGAGGAAGGCUUACUACAUUAAAAUCUCUAAGACCUAUCUUGGCAUGGGUGCUUCUUGCUUAUAAAGCAUAAGUCUGAAUCGGUUGAAAUAUUUAAACAAUUCUAUAAUGAGGUAGAAAAAUAAACUGCAAAGAUUAGUACUCAUCGAUCAGAUCGAUGAAGUGAAUACCCUUUACAGUAAAUUUUUUGAUAUGUCUUCAAGAGAAUUGGAUUCUCUUUCAAUAGAUC
rnacentral:lncRNA from 1 species